AACGAACGCUGGCGGCAUGCUUAACACAUGCAAGUCGAACGCGGUCCUUCGGGACCGAGUGGCGCACGGGUGAGUAGCGCGUGGGAACCUGCCCUCUUGUGGGGGAUAACCGAGGGAAACCUCGGCUAAUACCGCAUAAGCCGGAGAAAUACCGGGAAGAUUUAUCGCGAGAGGAGGGGCCCGCGUCGGAUUAGCUUGUUGGUGGGGUAACGGCCUACCAAGGCGAUGAUCCGUAGCUGGUCUGAGAGGAUGAUCAGCCACACUGGGACGUGAGACACCGGCCCACGACUCCUACGGGAGGCAGCAGGUGGGGAAUAUUGGACAAUGGGCGCAAGCCUGAUCCAGCAAUGCCGCGUGAGUGAGGAA
rnacentral:rRNA from 1 species